rnacentral:lncRNA from 1 species
GCGAUUUACAGACAAACUGUGUAUUUUGUUUUUAUUUUUUAUUAUAUUUAAUGCUUAAUGUAUAUGGCGUAAGAUUCGAUGUGAUAGGGAAUCUUGAAAAGUUUUUGAUUUUUGAGGUGAAAUAAACAAGGCCUUCAGUCUUCGUCGGAUUCCGAUACGGGCAUUGAUGUCGCGUUGUCAAAGAGGUACGUGCAGUGACGAGGAGGAAGUACAUGUGCGUCCGGGAGCC